UACGUAGGGUGCGAGCGUUGUCCGGAAUUAUUGGGCGUAAAGAGCUUGUAGGCGGUCUGUCGCGUCUGCUGUGAAAAAUCCGGGGGCUCAACCCCGGACUUGCAGUGGGUACGGGCAGACUAGAGUGUGGUAGGGGGAGACUGGAAUUCCAGGUGUAGCGGUGAAAUGCGUAGAUAUCAGGAGGAACACCAAUAGCGAAGGCAGCUCGCUGGGACGGUACUGACGCUAAGGCGCGAAAGCGUGGGGAGCGAACAGG
rnacentral:rRNA from 1 species